rnacentral:rRNA from 1 species
UACGUAGGGUGCGAGCGUUAAUCGGAAUUACUGGGCGUAAAGCGUGCGCAGGCGGCUUUGCAAGACAGAUGUGAAAUCCCCGGGCUCAACCUGGGAACUGCAUUUGUGACUGCAAGGCUGGAGUGCGGCAGAGGGGGAUGGAAUUCCGCGUGUAGCAGUGAAAUGCGUAGAUAUGCGGAGGAACACCGGUGGCGAAGGCAAUCCCCUGGGCCUGCACUGACGCUCAUGCACGAAAGCGUGGGGAGCAAACAGG